AACGCACCUUGCGCCCUUUGGCCAUUCCGAAGGGCAUGCCUGUUUGAGUAUCAUGAACACCUCAACUCUUCAUGGUUUUCCGUGAUGAGUUUGGACUUUGGGGGGUUUUGCUGGCUUACCUACGGUCAGCUCCUCUAAAAUAAAUCAGCUUGCCAGUGUUUGGUGGGUAUCAUAGGUGUGAUAACUAUCUACGCUUGUGGUUCUUCCAUCAGGUAACCUUCAGCAGUGGAGGUUCGCUGGAGCUCACAGAUGUCUCUCCUCAGUGAGGACAGCCCUUUGAAUGUUUGAUCUCAAAUCAGGUAGGACUACCCGCUGAACUUAA
rnacentral:misc_RNA from 1 species